GCGUGGAUAGUAUAACGGUUAUUAUCCCGGUUUCCCAUCACAUGGCUUCUCUCGAGAGGAAAUUACCGGGGACGCGAGUUCGACUCUCGCUUCACGCA